AUUGAACGCUGGCGGCAGGCCUAACACAUGCAAGUCGAGCGGUAGCACAGAGAGCUUGCUCUCGGGUGACGAGCGGCGGACGGGUGAGUAACGUCUGGGAAACUGCCUGAUGGAGGGGGAUAACUACUGGAAACGGUAGCUAAUACCGCAUAACGUCGCAAGACCAAAGAGGGGGACCUUCGGGCCUCUUGCCAUCAGAUGUGCCCAGAUGGGAUUAGCUAGUAGGUGGGGUAACGGCUCACCUAGGCGACGAUCCCUAGCUGGUCUGAGAGGAUGACCAGCCACACUGGAACUGAGACACGGUCCAGACUCCUACGGGAGGCAGCAGUGGGGAAUAUUGCACAAUGGGCGCAAGCCUGAUGCAGCCAUGCCGCGUGUAUGAAGAAGGCCUUCGGGUUGUAAAGUACUUUCAGCGGGGAGGAAGGUGUUGAGGUUAAUAACCUCAGCAAUUGACGUUACCCGCAGAAGAAGCACCGGCUAACUCCGUGCCAGCAGCCGCGGUAAUACGGAGGGUGCAAGCGUUAAUCGGAAUUACUGGGCGUAAAGCGCACGCAGGCGGUCUGUCAAGUCGGAUGUGAAAUCCCCGGGCUCAACCUGGGAACUGCAUUCGAAACUGGCAGACUAGAGUCUUGUAGAGGGGGGUAGAAUUCCAGGUGUAGCGGUGAAAUGCGUAGAGAUCUGGAGGAAUACCGGUGGCGAAGGCGGCCCCCUGGACAAAGACUGACGCUCAGUGCGAAAGCGUGGGGAGCAAACAGG
rnacentral:rRNA from 1 species